GAGUUUGAUCCUGGCUCAGGAUGAACGCUAGCGGCAGGCUUAACACAUGCAAGUCGAGGGGUAACAGGGAGCUUGCUCCGCUGACGACCGGCGCACGGGUGCGUAACGCGUAUAGAAUCUACCUUACACUGAGGGAUAGCCUUUGGAAACGAAGAUUAAUACCUCAUGGUAUCAUUGACUGGCAUCGGUUGAUGAUUAAAGGUUACGGUGUAAGAUGACUAUGCGUCCUAUUAGCUAGAUGGUAAGGUAACGGCUUACCAUGGCAACGAUAGGUAGGGGCCCUGAGAGGGGGAUCCCCCACACUGGUACUGAGACACGGACCAGACUCCUACGGGAGGCAGCAGUGAGGAAUAUUGGACAAUGGAGGCAACUCUGAUCCAGCCAUGCCGCGUGAAGGAUGACUGCCCUAUGGGUUGUAAACUUCUUUUAUACAGGAAGAAACACUGGUACGUGUACCAGCUUGACGGUACUGUAUGAAUAAGCACCGGCUAACUCCGUGCCAGCAGCCGCGGUAAUAAGGGCGA
rnacentral:rRNA from 1 species